AGUGAACGCUGGCGGUAGGCCUAACACAUGCAAGUCGAACGGCAGCACAGUAAGAGCUUGCCCUUACGGGUGGCGAGUGGCGGACGGGUGAGGAAUACAUCGGAAUCUACUUUUUCGUGGGGGAUAACGUAGGGAAACUUACGCUAAUACCGCAUACGACCUACGGGUGAAAGCAGGGGAUCUUCGGACCUUGCGCGACUGAAUGAGCUGAUGUCGGAUUAGCUAGUUGGCGGGGUAAAGGCCCACCAAGGCGACGAUCCGUAGCUGGUCUGAGAGGAUGAUCAGCCACACUGGAACUGAGACACGGUCCAGACUCCUACGGGAGGCAGCAGUGGGGAAUAUUGGACAAUGGGCGCAAGCCUGAUCCAGCCAUACCGCGUGGGUGAAGAAGGCCUUCGGGUUGUAAAGCCCUUUUGUUGGGAAAGAAAAGCAGCAGGUGAAUACCCCGCUGUUCUGACGGUACCCAAAGAAUAAGCACCGGCUAACUUCGUG
rnacentral:rRNA from 1 species